rnacentral:rRNA from 1 species
UACGGGGGGGGCAAGCGUUGUUCGGAAUUACUGGGCGUAAAGGGCUCGUAGGCGGCCAACUAAGUCGGAUGUGAAAUCCCCAGGCUUAACCUGGGAACUGCAUCCGAUACUGGAUGGCUUGAAUUCGGGAGAGGGAUGCAGAAUUCCAGGUGUAGCGGUGAAAUGCGUAGAUAUCUGGAGGAAUACCGGUGGCGAAGGCGGAUCUCUGGGCCGAUACUGACGCUGAGGAGCGAAAGCGUGGGGAGCGAACAGG